rnacentral:other from 1 species
GCGGGGCUGCCCGGUGCGUCAGGCAAUCCACCCCCGGGGCCGAUAGCAACUCUCCAGGGAGCUGGCUCUGUCGUGAUCGUGGUCACGGUAUCCGGUGCCCACCUGCGCAAGCAGGCUCUGGGAGGGUGAAAACGCCAACGGCCAUGGCGGCUCCGCA